rnacentral:rRNA from 1 species
AACGAGCGCUGGCGGCGUGCUUAACACAUGCAAGUCGAACGGAAAGGCCCUGCUUUUGUGGGGUGCUCGAGUUGCCAACGGGUGAGUAACACGUGAGUAACCUGCCCUUGACUUUGGGAUAACUUCAGGAAACUUGGGCUAAUACCGGCUAGGAGCUCCUGCUGCAUGGUGGGGGUUGGAAAGUUUCGGCGGUUGGGGAUGGACUCGCGGCUUAUCAGCUUGUUGGUGGGGUAGUGUCUUACCAAGGCUUUGACCGGUAGCCGGCCUGAGAGGGUGACCGGCUAAAUUGGGACGGGGAUACGGCCCAGCCUCCUACGGGACGCAGCAGUGGGGUAUAUUGCACUAUGGGCGGAAGCCUGAUGCAGCACAGCCGCGUGGGGGAUGACGGCCAUCGGGUUGUAAACUGAUUCCGCCUGUGACGAAGCGUGAGUGACGGUAAUGGGUAAAGAAGCACCGGCUAACUCCGUG